GACGAACGCUGGCGGCGUGCCUAAUACAUGCAAGUAGGACGCAGUUGCGAACGGGUGAGUAACGCGUAGGUAACUACCUAUUAGAGGGGGAGAACUAUUGGAAACGAUAGCUAAUACCGCAUACUAGUAAAGAGACAUGCGUUGUAUUAGCUAGUCGGUAGGGUAAUGGCCUACCGAGCCAACGAUACAUAGCCAACCUGAGAUGUUGAUCGGCCACACUGGGACUGAGACGCGGCCCAGACUCCUACGGGAGGCAGCAGUAGGGAAUCUUCGGCAAUGGGGGGAACCCUGACCGAGCAACGCCGCGUGAGUGAAGAAGGUUUGCGUAUCGUAAAGCUCUGUUGUUAAGGAAGCGGUACUUAACCAGAAAGGUACGGCUAACUACGUGCCAGCAGCCGCGGUAAUUC
rnacentral:rRNA from 1 species